UGUAUGGCUUCUCUAUUUUCUUUGUAUUGUAUUGUGUGUACACACACACACAAACACACACGUAUAUAUAUAUAACAUAUAUAUAUGUAUAUAUAUAUAUAUAUAUAUAUAUAUAUAUAUAUAUAAGUAGACAAAUGAAUUAUCUUAUUACGGAUAAUUCGAAAGAUAACCGAUACCUGGGUAGCAAACUCACAACAGAAAAAGCACGGUUGAAGUUACGACCAUAGGGCAUAAAAUCCGUGCCUUAGUGCGGAGAUUUGAAGUUUUAUAUAUUAAGUAUAGGAAAGAAUGGAGCUGAACGAAGAUUUAACGAAAUUCCUUAAUUUUAGGAAUUUCGUUAAAUCUUCGUUCAGCUCCAUUCUUUCCUAUACUUUAUAUAUAUAUAUAUAUAUAUAUAUAUAUAUAUAUAUAUAUAUAUAUAUAUAUAUAUAUAUAUACAUCUCUUUUAUUCUUUUACUUGUUUCAGUCAUUUGACUGCGGCCAUGCUGGAGCACUGCCUUUGGUCGAACAAAUAGACCCCAGAACUUAUUCUUUGUAAGCCUAGUAUUUAUUCUAUCGUUAUCUUUUACAGGGACGUAAACACACCAGCAUCGGUUGUCAAGCGAUGUUGGGAGGACAAGCACAGACAUACAAACCCCAAUCCUACAUAUAUAUGCAUAUACAUAUAUAUACGACAGGCUUCUUUCAGUUUCCGUCUACGAAAUCCACUCGCAAGGGCUUGGUCGGCCCGUGGCUAUAGUAGAAGACACUUGCCCAAGUUUCCACGCUGUGGGACUAAACCCGGAACCAUGUGGUUGGUAAGCAAGCUACCUUUAUUCAUUGAAUUUGCCAUAUAGGCAGCACAUAGAUAAGGUAGCAUUGCGGGCUGGACACAGACAUUGAUGAGGCGAAUGAUUAUGAUCCAAAAAUGAUAUGGAUGGGAGAAGACAGAAAGCGCCCGCCGGUCCUCUCCUUCUCUAAAACAUUGUUCUUUAAAAACGCUGAUACAGAUGUAUUAACCCUCUUACAAUUUAAAAUAUUUUAUAUUUGGACUAAAAUUUCCAUACCAUUAUAAAACACAAUUUAUACACAAAUUGGAGGCGAUAAACCUCUACAGUCCUUCCCCGGGUAAUUUUCUUCCAACUUGCAGGCAUUCCUGCAACCGCAAUCCGGGGCCCCUAAAAAAUUCUAUAAUUCACGUUUUUACAAGAGUCAAUUAUGAGAUCACAAUACUUUCUUUCUAGCACCAGACCAGCCACUCUAGGGUCUCCACGAAACUGUCAAUAGCCCCUCCCCUGAGAUAGAAGAGCAUAUAUUCUUCACCACUUUUACUGGGAGGGGCCUCAACUCCCUCGCUCGGUGGCACACAUCUCACUGACGAGGUUAUCUUCUUCACAUCCUCCGGUGGCACACAUCCCACCGAAGGGGUUUUUGGACAUGCCGUCGCCGGCAAUGCCCCGUUUUUCUUUUUUCUCUUCUUUCUUCCUUUUACGGCGGGAGGUUGGAGUUCCUCCGACAUCUCCGGAGGACCCUCUUCCCCUCACCACCACCGCCGUCUCAGGAUCCAUCGAUGGGCAACUACAAAAAUCAAAAUGUUAGAAUGAAAGUCUAUAAAGAAAAUCAAAAAAGAUCAGAAAGACAGAAAGACAGACAGGAGAAGAAAGAGCGAAGGAAGAUAAUCCAAAAUGGCAACACAACUCAACACAAUUCUGCUACUCUGGUAAUCCAAGCUUGUAGUCCUUCGCAGUACAAAUGGUAUUCCAUCCAACUCUUUCUGUACUCCUAUCCUUUAUGGUAAAAAUCUCCUUGAAAGGGCACAAACACAGACCUAGAAAAUUCAAAAAAAAAUUUCGGAAUGACACGCCUCCCAAAAUAAACACAAUUCUCACUACACAGUGAAUCUUCUUACACGAUCACUGGCAAACAAAUACCUGGAACCCAGUGGAGACCCCUGUUCGAAAAAAAAUACCUAAAUACAAACAGCAGACUCCCACUAAGCACCAAAAAACAGAUAAUUUACCUGUGGUCGUGCUUCACAUGUUCAAUUUCUCACGUACGACGUGACUUCCAAUGCGACAUAGCAGUAAGCAAGCUACUUCCCACACAGUCUCUCCUGCACCUAUAUAAUAUGAUAUAUAUAUAUAUAUAUAUAUAUAUAUAUAUAUAUAUAUAUAUAUAUAUGCAUGCAUGUAUGUAUGUAUGUAUGUAUUAUGUAUAUAUGUAUCUUCAUAUAUAAGUGCAGAACAAGAUUCUCGGGUACCUGUCGCAUUAUACACACCAUAUGAUUUAUUAUAUCUGAAAUGGUUACUAUAUACAUGAUAAACCCAAUACAGCAACGUUACCGCCAAUGUUUCGAUAGUUUCCGAAACAUUAUUAACUCUACGGUUUUCUAAAUAAUUUCCUGUCAUUUUGGUUAACUCUUUCAUGUCUUUUAACUGCUGGCAGCAACUGAAAUGGAUUCUCUGUACGAAGUCUACCAUCUCUGAAACUUCCUCUUGUUGUCAAACCGUUGCAAUAGCAUGGGAUAACAUGUGCAAUUUUAUAAACGCAAACCAAGUUUUCAGCGAAGCUCUUUUAAGAUUGUUUUGAUUAUAGUCAAACUUUUUGGCUGCUUUUGGAGGCUUUGAACAUGAAAGGGACAAUUAAAUAGAAUUGGAACUAAUCAAAGUGAUUAUGUUGGUAGAAUUCCUGUUGUCGGUUGCUUUGUUGAUAGUGAGGAAGAGAUGGAGGGAGAGAGAAACAGGGGAAGAAAGCGAGGGAGAGGGAGGGAGAGAGAGAACUGCAAAGGGAUAGAUAGAUAGAUAGAUAGAUAGAUAGAUAGAUAGAUAGAUAGAUAGAUAGAUAGACAGACAGACAGAUAGACAGACAGAUAGACAGACAGACAGACAGAUAGAUAGAUAGAUAGAUAGAUAGAUAGAUAGAUAGAUAGAUAGAUAGAGAGAGAGAGAGAGAGAGAGAGAGAGAGAGAGAGAUAGAUAGACGGACAGACAGGCUGAAAGGAAUAAUGAGAAAAAGUGUGUGAGAGAAAAACACGAAUAAGCAGAAAGAAAAUGUUACAGUUUAUAAGACAAGGUUGGACUACAAGAAUGGUAUUCAAACAAGAAAUGUCUAUAUUUUGAAGGAGGUCUGGUAAAUAUGUCUUGUAACAGCUAAUGAGAGUCAUGUCAGAUGAGAAAUAACAGUCAGAUCUCCUUUAAACUUAACACAACAUCGUAAAAACGGAAGGAUACGUCGGGGAAAUGUUGUUUUAGAUAUAGCAAAAAGCAAGAAGGUCGCUGAUGGAAGACAUUUAAACAUACUUUAUAGGGUCACAGUUGACAUGGGAUGUAAGAAAACCACCAACUGUAGGGUCACCUCACCACAGUUGGUGGCUUAGAAAAUUGCUUCUAAUAUGUGGCUCUUUAAAAAGAAUUGAUUUAGAGGAAGAGGUUGUACCCAUAAUUUUUGGAGCCCCUUCUCCCCAAACUGAUGAAGCUGAGACAGUUAAUGUUUCGCCUAAACAUCUGGAAAUCGACGACCGCAGGGACGAAGGACUUUAGUUUUUGCGGGAGAGUCAACCAAAAAAACUGUAAAAAAGCGGCGAUCUGGCAGAAUGGUGAGCACGUUGGUCAAAAUAUCUGGGCAGCGAUUUCUUCCGUCUGUUUACGUACUGAGUUUGAAUCCCGCGAAUGUCAGGUUUGCCUUUGAUCCAUUCGAAUAUAAAGAAAUAAAGGACCAGUCAUUAACCAGAACUGCUGACCUUUAACAUUGUAAUGAACCGGCGUCAGGGAGAAUGUUAUUAUCUCCAGGCAUAUGCCAUAGAAAACCGGGUAACAGGUCCCAUGUAUCCGAAGGCUAAAGGAAAAUUUUAUAAAAGAUCAAAUAGAGGGUGUUCAUUUGCAUCGCCGGUUCACUGUAGCCGGCCACCGAGAACCUGAUCCAAAUACUUGCAACAGUGAGAACACGAUACAGGCAGUCAUAGACCAAGUCAUGGUGUUACACUGGUCACCAUUAUGUAGCCCACACUAUACAUUGCGCAGAAGGAUGAAGGAGGAUCGGGUCAUUGACUAACCUUUUCAACCUCAAAAUCCCUGCAACUGGAGGACGAAAUUUGGGGGUACUGCUGGAGUAUUAUGAGUUCAUACUGUACCUAAAAUUCUUAAAGAAAGUAUUAUCUCUUCUUUGUAGGUUUGUCUUUGUGAAAACCCUUUAAACGUUUUCAUGACAACAGAUUUCAUAACAGCAACAACAUAUUAACUUGUAAGAAAGAACAAACACAAUUUAACGUUGUUUGUCUUGAAAACUAUAUGAAAGAGAAAUAAAAACCUACACUGCCACACACAUACACGCACAUACAGACAUACACAAAUGCACAGACACACACACAUACACAUAUGUACAUAUACAGUCAUAUAGUCAUAUAUGUUUAAACAGUGUGCACAAAAGAAUCAUGAAUAUACACAUAUAUAAAAGCAUAUUUAUAUAGAUAUGCAUAGAUGUAUGUAUGUAUGCAUGUAUAUUUAUCUAUAUAUGUAUAUAUAUAUAUAUAUAUAUAUAUAUAUAUAUAUAUAUAUAUAUAUAUAUAUAUAUAUAUAUAUAUAUAUAUAUAUAUAUACAUACAUAUAUAGUUACAUAUAUUCAUAUGUAUAUAUAUAUAUAUUCACACAUAUAUAUGUUAGUGAAUGUGUGUAUGUAUAUAUGUGUAUAUAUAUAUAUAUAUGUAUGUAUGUGUGUGUAUAUAUGUAUAUUAUAUGUAUAUUAUAUAUAUAUAUAUAUAUAUAUAUAUAUAUAUAUAUAUAUAUAUAUAUAUAGCAGUGUGUUUGUGCAAGAAGCAGCUUUCUAAUUUCAUAGAGCGAUCAUAAAUAUUGAUUACCCGGAUGUUGUUUGUGUAUCAGACCAGGAAUAUUUAUAGCUCAAGCGCAUACAUACCUCUAUCUCUCUCUCCUUCUCUUUCCUUCUCUUUAUCUCUCUCUCUCUCUCUCUUUCUCUUUCCUACUCUUUAUCUCUCUCUUUCUCUUUCUCUCUCUCUCUCUCUCUCUCUCUCUCUCUCUCUCUCUCUACCUCUAUUGCUUGGUUUUACAGUCGAGUAUCUCUGAUCGGAGAUAUUUCUCCUCUUAAACACAUCGGCCGACAUUUUAUGGACUCUAUAACCAUAUUUAUACUUUCAACCUAUCUUCUGUAUUUAUCUCAGUUGCCAGGCAUUUUCUUGAACUGAUUACCUACAACUCUCAAUGUUGCUGCUGAAAUGCUGAUGAGGUUCAAUAAGAUUGAAACGUGGUUUUGUUUGUUACCUUUGCCUACUAGCAUAAAUCACAUCACUCCCUGAAAAAUUUAUUCAACAAUUUCUUCAAAUUCUUCCUUUCUUUUUCUUUGAAAUCCUCUAACAAUCACCGUAGAGGAAAUUCCAGUUAACUGAGAAUUCUUUUUCUCUGCCAACAUUCGGUGCAUGCAACCUUUCACAACUUUUUCUACAUUUAUUCCACAAACCCACUGGAGUUCUCUCCCUUAAUUCUUUGCUGAAUUUUAUUUUAUUUCUUUUAAUUGUGAAAUAUUUUAGUACAACCAGAGAUUUUCUCUUUACAUUGAUUGCCGGCUUUACAGCUUCAUAAUAUUUUAUGAGAUGCUUCAGAGAAGAGCGUUUGUUGCUGUUGGUGUCCAAAGGUCAAUAAUGAUAAAGGAUAAAGAAUGCUAUUUUCAUCUUCAUACGAAAGAAGUUCUCAGCGAGAGAUUUUCUAAGUUCUGAAGGGAAACCGAUUCAAGGUAGUUGUUUUGUCAAUGUAGAAUUAUAGUUUAUAUACGUUUAUGGUGAAGAUCAUAGUGGCAGCAUUUAUGUUUACAUAAAAAUCUAACUUGUAGCGGAUAUGACAUUACUUGCAAAACAGAACGUCAUAGUAGUGGUGGUGGCGGCGGUGGCCGUGGUGGUGGUGGUGCGGUGGCGGUUAGAGAAAGAUAAUUGCAAGAAGAAUGAGCAUUAGAAAACUGUCAAUUGUCAACAGAUAACGAUGUUGAGACCAAAUAGAUAGAGAAGUAGUGGUUCUUUGGUGUGCGUGCGCGUUGGUACUAUAAAAGCUGGCUAAAUCAAUAUUUGGAGCCGAAAUAGAAAGUGUUUGUAGGGGAGAAAGAUAAGGGGCUCACCGAGAGCUCAAUCUUUGGCGCCGUUUCAAUCGCUUUCAAUUCUUGUUUGAUCUUUGUUUAUGUCAGUUGAACCAAGUAAUAUGAUAAAAGAAAGGUAUGGACAUCAAACGCAUUCUAUUUACCAUAGAAAAAUAUACGACCUUCGUGUGUACGUUUAAUAAACCAAUAAGAGAAUAGCAUGGAAUACAUAGCAAGCUGUUUGGGGACCCAAAUGCAUUGCCUUAUUUCAAUUCUGGGUAAAUUUAUUUUGCUUUAAAUCUCUGAUCUCUUGAAGAAAUUUUUGAACAAGUAUUGGACACAUUAUUUACAUUAUUUACAUUUGACGGAUAUUUGUCCUCAUCUUGUUUGUUGUUAACACAACGUUUCAGCUGAUAUAUCCUCCAGCCUUCUUCCGGUGUCUUGGGGAAAUUUCGAACCUAGGUUCUCAUUCCUAAGGUGUUUUUUGAUUGUUGUUGUUAUUAUUAUUAUUAUUAUUAUCAUUAUUAUUAUUAUUAUUAUUAUUAUUAUUAUUAUUAUUAUUAUUAUUAUUAUUAUUAUUAUUAUUAUUAUUAUUAUUAUUAUUAUUAUUGUUAUUAUUGUUAUUAUUAUUAUUCGAAAAUAUCUUAGGAAUGAGAACCCAGGUUCGAAAUUUCUCCAAAACACCUGAUGAAGACUGGAGAGUAUAUCAGCUGAAACGUUGUGUUAACAACAAACAAGAUGAGGACAAAUAUCCGUCAAAUGUAAAUAAUGUAAAUAAUGUACAUAAUUCUUCAUCUCUUAAAUAUAGAACUGAAGUAUUGGACACUAUACACCAGAAAACAAAUGUUUUUUUAUGGCUAAAAAAAUCCUUGUUGUUUUUCGUUUAAUGUCGUAGAUGGUUCGUCUGUUUAUGAAUCCUAUUUCUCCUCAUUCUCGCUUCUUAGCGACUUACUGACACUCAAAUACUUAAUAUUACUAAGGCGGCGAGCUGGCAGAACCGUUAGCAUGCCGGGCGAAAUGCGUAGCCGUAUUUCGUCUGCCGUUACGUUCUGAGUUCAAAUUCCGUCGAGGUCGACUUUGCCUUUCAUCCUUUCGGGGUCGAUAAAUUAAGUACCAGUUACGCACUGGGGUCGAUGUAAUCGACUUAAUCCGUUUGUCUGUCCUUGUUUGUCCCCUCUGUGUUUAGCCCCUUGUGGGUAGUAAAGAAAUAAAUAUUACCCACGCCCUCACCUUCACACCUCUCUUCUUUUAGUGUUGACAAUUUUUAUACAUCUCUCCACAGCUGGAAUUGGUCUUCGUUCUUGACAUGUCUGAAACAUGUAAAACAUGGACGACAUUUCAAAGAGCAUCAACGCUCAGUCACUUCUUCCAAUUACUUUUACCUCUCCCACUAUACCUCCCAUUCUCCUUAUACCGCUCUCUUUAUAUUUCUUAUCCUUCUGUCUAAAGAUUUUCUGCAAAUGCAACCUAAAACACAACCUGCAUCCAGGCUUGGAAAUUUCACUGGAACAGAAAUCUCUUAAUGGCAUGCACUGAGAUUUUGGCAAUUUAAUCUUACUGAUCUGCCCCUGGAUACAAAUGCAUUAUACCGAACCAAUCUUCUCAAUAAAGACAUCAAAACAACACUUUUGCUAUUAAUUCCCUGCUCUCCAGCAACAUUUUAUGCACACAGAUUUCACACAUUUAAACUCAACCUUUGUUAUGAGCCUAAAAGGACGGAGUGUAGGGAUUUCGAAAAAAUCACACUCUGCUCCACCAUUUUAGUUUUGCAGGGAUAGAAAAGAAGAGAACCAUUCACCCUGAAAGGGAAGCUGCAAGAAAUGCCACCAGGUGGCUUUGGAUUAAGUGGGCCGAUCCGAUGACUGUUACAGCUGAGGCGCAAGUUGAAUUGUUAUCAACCUGGGUUGGGCGUUCUGGGCGGAGAUGUUUCAUGUUGAAAGGACCGAAACCCCGAACGAUUCCAGGGUACAUUACCAAUAAUGUGUGGCAGCUCAUCUUGGAGAUGUAUUUCACUCACAGACUAUGUAUUCCAUCCACUUCUGUGAAUAAAUCAUGAUAAUGUUUAAAUAAGUCCUACUUUGAUAUGACACUCUCAUCUCUCUCUCUCUCUCUCUCUCUCUCUCUCUCUCUCUUUCUCUCUCUCUCUCUCUCUCUCCUGGCAUAAACAGUUACACACGCUCUUUUUGAAACUUUUUACAUAAAUAUCGAAGAGAAUUCAAUUAAUGAAUUCCGGAAGCACAAACAUUGAUAAAAGAUAAGACAUAUGUAUACUAGAUUCACAGAUCACUUUAUAUAACUUUAAGUAUUUGUAAUUUAACUCAGAAAUUUUCAUUAAAACAUAUUGAUUGAUUAAAAUCAUGUCUACUUGAGAAUCAUUAAUUAAAAAUGUUUAUAUGAAGAGAAUAUUUUUACAUAAAAUCAUUUUGAAUAAUUGACAAAAUCUCCUCCAUAUUUCAAGAGUGGAUAUUUUCACAAAAACAACCGAACAGAACGAGUAUUGUUUAGUUUAGUUCAGCAAUACCUUCUCCGGCAGCAACGAUAUAGAACAUGAAGAGUAAUAAGACAUCAUUCAUCGUUAAAAAGAAAACCAGAACCAAAAUGGAUAUUGUUCAAUAACUUACUCGCAUAAAUUAAUUUACCGAACGAACCAUGAUACAAUAAUUCCAACUCAAAACGUUGAAAGAAAAAAACUUCCCAAUAAAUAAGAUGCUACUAAAGUACAAGCCAUGAUCAAUAAAACCCAAUAUUUCAUUUCAAAAAUAUUCUAGAAUCUUCUAAUAGGAUUCUGUUUAAGGAGCAGAUCUUUAUUUUGUUAGUAUAAAUCUUAACAAUAAACAGAUUGCUGACAGUUUUGGGGUUUUUUUUUUAUAUUUCUUUUAUUAUAAAUAAAAAUUUGUACAGGAAGAUUGAAAUAUCGAAUGUGUAAUAUAUGUUUGUUAAUCAAGUUACUUUCCCCAGGCACUGAAAUAUCAGACACCAUUUGCGAGUGUAAAGAAAAAUUAAGAUAUAUAUUUUAAAAAAUAAUGAGAAAUGUCAAUAUUAAGUAGAGAGAUUUCUUAAUUAGGCUUCAAGCCCUACGGUGACGCUGCAGAUGGAAUUGGGAAACCAUAGUGACUCACAUAAUUUGUUCUUUUCCUUUAUCCCUGGAGAAUAUCUAACUGUAAACGAUACUAUCGCAACCGAGAAUUUAAACCAGGUUGCAUGCUGCAUGCAACCAUAAUUUACUGCGGCACCAAUAAUCCAAGAGAAAAAUAAAUGUUCGCAGGCGUGGCUGCGUGGUAAGAAGUUUGCUUUCCGAUCACAUGGUUCUGGGUUCAGUCCCACUGGGUGGCAUCUUGGGCAAGUGUAUUCUACUAUAGUCCAGGCCCGACCAAAGCCUUUUGAGCGGAUUUGGUAGAGGGAAACGGAAAGAAUCCCGUGAUUCCAUCCUAUGGUUGGUAAGUAUCAAAUAGGAUAUUCCGGUUGUGAACACAUAGAAGAACAACCCUAUGAGUGUAUAGUACCUAGGGGCCGGUCCAAAUUAUGCGUUACUUUGGAUAGUAUGUUGUUGUUAUACUCAAGGGUGUCCGACGAGUCGUAAAUGUCCUUGGUGUAUUAUAAUCAAAUGAAUGAUAACAGACGAUGGGUAAAUGUCAGCCCAUAACAGCUGAUACGUAAUUAAAAAUGUACGUAAGAAACAGCUGUAAUGGGCUGACAAUUAUCCAUGGAACCCAGUAGUCAACUGGUAUUUAUUUUAUCGGCCCCAAAAUUAUGCUAAAUCAAAAUCACUUCGACAUUAUUUUAACUCAAAAAGAAGGUGGCGAGCUGGCAGAAACGUUAGCGAGCCGAGCUAAAUGCUUAGCGGUGUUUCGUCCAUCUAUACGUUCUGAGUUCAAAUUCCACAGAGGUUGACUUUGCCUUUCACUCUUUCAUCCUUUCAGGGUCGAUAAAUUAAGUACCCGUGAAACACUGGGGUCAAUGUUAUCGGCUAGUCCCCUCCCCACAAAUUUCAGGCCCUGUGCCUGUAGUAGAAAAGGUUAUUUUAACUCAAAACAUAAAAAGGCAGAGGAAACACGCUAGCGAUUAUGACAACUUGCCGCCAUUGCAAAACUUAAUACUUGACACAAAACCUGAAAUUUUGAUGCGAGGGGCCUAGUCGAUUACAUCGGCCCCAGUACUUGAGCGGUUCUUAAUUCAUUGAUCCCGAAGGGAUGGAAGGCAAGGUCAACCACGGCGGUAUUUGAGUAAAACUUAAUAUUGAUAUGAACAAAGGAAAAUACUUGAAAAAAAAAUCAACAAAAAUAUAGGACCCAUGGUUAAACCACCGGACUUUUGGCAUCUUUAAGCAGGGAUCGAACCGAUUUAUUGUGUCCAUUACGAAAACUUCAUCAGUAAUCGCCAACUUGGCACUCAUAAAAACUAAUAGUUAAGUUUUGGCUAUCUACGUUGAUUAAUGUUAUCAUGUGUCACACAAAAUAUCUGUUAUUCUGUCAGUCCUCGCCCAACCCCAUGACACAUCGCUUGCAUCGUGAAUCAACACUAUCAAUCAUCGUUAAUUAAAUAUAUAUAUAUUAUACACCCCUUUAUCUCCUCUUCAUAUCGCUGCUGUUUAGUUAUACCAUUUUAUGAAUCUUAUUCAUCUGUGAAACUAUAAUGUAAAGCAAUCUAAUUAUAAUAUGAGAUUAGAUGACUUCGAUGGUGAAAAAUUAUAGGUUAAAAAUAAUCUGGUAACUACAAGUAAAUAGUGAUGAGACGGUAAGUAAAUGGAUUUAAUUUCAAGUCUGGUUACAUUAGAGAUAAACUUGGACGUAAGUUUGAAUUGUUCUGGACGAGCGAUAAGCGCUCGAGAUAAAUUCCGGCCAGUGAAUGGUGCGUUAAAAUGAUUUCGUAUAUUUUGGGCUGAAAUCUGAGAGAUUUGAGUGAAAGAAGGCUAAAACGUUCUGAUGUGUUUCUCUAAAGACAUUAGCGAGUUAAGUGAGAAAAGGCUAGCCCCUGGAAUACAAGACAAGCCAGAAACCUACUUUGAUCGCGGCCUAUAUCUUUCUCUCAAUGGCGAUUUUCAAUUUGUGUUUAAUGUGAUAGAAAAACGAAUGUAUAAUUAAAUUGGUAAUUGUGAUUAACAGCUGGCGCUUCGUCAGUUUCGACGACGAGGAUUCCUGCUGAUCCAAUCAAUGGAACAAUCCGUUCGUGAAAUUUACAUACAAGCGGCUGAGUACUGAAGUUACAUGUACCCUUAGAUUCAGCGUGACAUAGAAUGUGACAAGGCUGAGUGGAGCAACGUGAAAUAAAGUGUCUUACUCAAGGACAACAACGCGCCGCCAGGAAUCGAACCCACAACCUUAUGAUCUUGAUCCGAAUACCCUAACCACUAAGCUACGAGCAUUCGUUAAAAGGAUGACAGGCAAAGUCGACCUCAGCGGCAUUUGAUCGCAGACUGUAGGGAAUUGAAAGUAAUACCUCUAAGCAUUUUGUCUGACGCGCUAACAAUUCUGCCAGCUCGCCAUCUUGUCAAUUGUGAUAUUAUUCCAGCGUAUGACCUUAAACUGUGUCUGGUUGAGGGCCACUGGUCCAGGAACUCUAGAUUUUGAGGAGUGCGCAACCAUCCCUUAGCCGUUGUUCUUAAGUGUGUUUUGACCCGGAGCAAUAAUACCUGGCAAGGUCCCAACUAUAGGUUAAUUAGUAUAUCUGGGAGUGACCUCUGGAAUGUCACUCACGGGCACCCCAACGAAAUCAGUACAUAUGAGGCCCUUCAGCUAUUCUUUAGCUGCUCAUCUAAGAGGAGAUAACUCCAUACACAUUCUACAUCCUGACAUUUACUGGGCUCGUGGCAUUUGUUGCACCAGACGAACAAGAGAGUAAGACUGGCUCUGUACAAACUGUGCCCACUGUAAAAGGAAUCCCCUGCUACUUUGGAGGGGAAUUUAUUGGGCAUUUAAAAAAAUGCUAUGGGAGUAAACUCCGACAGAUAACCCUAAAGUAGAUGUAUACGGUUAUAUUUAACCAGCAUCUAGCAUGCCUAGCAUUUCCAUGGAUAUUGCGAACGUACUGACUGGUCUUACAUUCGUGGUGUAUUCACGAGUGGAGAAGGGGGUAAUGUGUGAAAAAGGGAGCUAGGCAUUUGCUUCUGAAAAUAGCCCUGGGGCAGCAGAGGUGGUUAAGUAACUAUGUCUGUAAAACUGUAACCACAAUGAAAAAGACCAAACCAAACAAUUGUGAUAUUACAGGCGGGAAAACGUUGAGGUUUACAUUAAUCAGUUGCAUAUCUCUUAGUUUCGAAUUUUAAUUUAUAUCCUGUCGUGUUCAGCUUUACAUUUAAAACAUCUGUAAAGACCAGUAAUUCACACAGGUGAAAAGAAACUCGCAUUCUUUUCGACGAUUGAUUUUAUGUUUAGUCAAAAUGAAUCGCGUAGAUUGUAGCCACCAUGCCUUGUUUUAAGACAGUGGAAAUGAGAUGUUGUGGUAUUAUGCCCUUCCCAAUGGCAUUAUUCACGUAAGCAGACUAAAACAGAUGUUCCAUUCAAGACUCGAUGCGACAUUAACCUAUAAUCAAUCAAUAAAUAGCUCUUACCAACAUACACACACGAAUAUACAUACAUACAUACAUAUAUACAUACAUACACACACAUACAUACAUAUAUAUAUACGUACAUACAUAUAUACAUACAUGCAUACAGCAUACAUACAUACAUACAUACAUACAUACAUACAUACAUACAUACCCUGUUGAUGAUGUUGAGAUUCCAAUGAGGGAGACUUGAAUCUAGGUUAGAAACCGGUCCUUUCUCUAUUGGCAAGAAAUCUUGAAAUAAAACUGAAUAAUGACAUACACACAUACAUUCAGACAGACGGACAAGGCGGAAGAACGGACGGACUGGUGGACGGACGGACUGGUGGACGGACGGACAUGUAGACAGAUAUAUGUAAGGCGAGCUGGCAGAAUCGUUAGUAAAUCAGACAUAAAGCUUAGCGGUAUUUCAUUAGGCUCUUAACAUUCUGAGUUCAAAUACCGUUGAGUUCAUCUUUGAAGUAAAGUACGGAGUCACUGUCAUCAACUACCCCCCCCCCCUCAAAACUGUUGGUCUUUGAAUCCUGCGACGUACUGGCGUCUCGUUGAUGGAGAUUGUUGUGAUGUCGGUUAUUUAUACGACAUGGAAACCAGAGAUCAAGGAUUGUGUGUGUGUGUUUGCGAGCGUAUGUGCAUGUGUCAAAGUAUGUGUGUGCAUGCAUGUGUGUGUGCACAUGUGUGUGUGAGUGUGUGUGUGUGUGUGUUUGUGCACGCGUUUGUACGUGUGUGCGAAUCUUGUUAAUGAACCCCCAGAUUAAUACUUACCUAACAAGUCUAUGAUUACAGGUGUUCUAGCCAUGAUCAUCACAUCUUUCAUUCAAACAUACUUUAUGUAGGACUGCAUUAUCUCAUGCAUUCUUCUUGCCUGUUAUUUGAGGGACAUUUAGCUGCGAUUUUAAGAUUGAGUGCGCUUGUUGAGGUCCUCCGUUAGCUUGACUGUUGUGUGCAGUUCUUGUUAUUGUAACUUUUGUUCAACCUAAGUUGAAUCCUGACCGAACUGACCUAUAACAAAGGUAUUCCAAUCGUGACCGUCCUGUCUUUUCAUGGGUAUACCGAGCAACAAUGAAAAUGUUAUUUCAAAGAUAUUUGGUUACUACUUCUAGCAUGUAGAAUUACCACGCAGAUGUUUCCUCGUUUGCUGGUUAGCACUAGUAGAUGUUUCUUAUUUCUUAGUUUUAAUUUCUUUAUUGCCCACAAGGCGCUAAACAUAGAGGGGACAAACACGAACAGACCAAGGGAUCAAGCCAAUUACAUCAACCUCAGUGCGUAACUGGUACUUAAUUUAUCGAGCCCUAAAGGAUGAAAGGUAAGUCGACCUCGGUAGAAUUUCAACUCAGAACGUAACGGCAGACGAAAUACCUAUUUCUUUACUACCCACAAGGGGCUAAACACAGAGGGGACAAACAAGGACAGACAAAAGGAUUAAGUCGAUUAUAUCGACCCCAGUGCGUAACUGGUACUUAAUUCAUCGACCCCGAAAGGAUGAAAAGCAAAGUCGUCCUCAACGGAAUUUGAACUCAGAACGUAACUCAGACGAAAUACGGCAACGCAUUUCGCCCGGUCUGCUAACGUUUCUGCUAGUUCGCCACCUUUAGAUGAUUCUAAUGUAUCUAGAAAACAUCAAUGUUAUAUUUCGUUUUUUUUUUUGUUUUUUUUUGUAUCUUGUGAGGGUCAUUAUGUCAAUAAUAAACAUGCACUGGUUCUAUUUUACUUUUCUAGUUUCAGAAUUCACAUCAAGAAUCAGAUAAUGAGAUAUCAGUGUCAUAAGGUUUAUAAUAACAGAAUGCUGUUGUUACAUUCAUGCCUUUCCCCCAAAUAUUAACGACGGCAGUUUAAAAGAAAUGGCCUCCACCUGAUGCGUUUUCCCAAACCCAUCCAGCUGCCAACCUGGACGGAGAGAUUAUUCCCUGCGCUACAAAAUCUGUUAUGUUUUUCUCACAAAUGCUAACACAAUGUUUUUAAUUUGUUAUGGUACCCAACCGUUUCUUAAUACUUAUUUAUUCAUCGCUUUGACUCUCUUAUCAAAUAAACUUACAAUUAACUAAGAAGGUUCACUUCAGACAACAUUUAUCUUGGCUUUCUUUCAAAAAUCACUGAAUCAAAGAUGUCGACUUUUCUUUUUUCUCUUUUUACAUUUUUUCCUUUUAUUUUUCAAUAUUACUAUAUAAUUUCUUUCAGUAUCCUUAUUAUUAUAAAUAUUGUUAUAGUAGUUACUAUUGUUAUUAUUAUUAUCAUUAUUAUUAUCAUUAUUAUUAUUAUUAUUAUUAUUAUUAUUAUUAUUAUUAUUAUUAUUAUUAUUAUUAUUAUUAUUAUUAUUAUUAUUAUUAUUAUUAUUAUUAUUUUACAAUUACUCUAUUAGCUUUCUGCUUCUACUUCAUUUUGUUGUAACUAUUAUAUAUAUAUAUAUAUAUAUAUAUAUAUAUAUAUAUAUAUAUACGUAUAUGUAUGUAUAUGUAUAUUGUAUAUGUAUGUAUAGUAUGUAUAUAUGCAUGCAUACGUGCAUUUAUAUAUUCAUAUAUACAUUUAUACAUAAAUAUAUAUAAAUAUUAGUAGAUAUGAAUGAAUGUAUAUGUAUGUAUGCAUGCAUGUAUAUAUGAAUUAUAUGUCUGUGUGUGUAUGCAUGUAUGUAUGUAUACGUACGUACAUACAUACUUCUCUUUCUUAUGUUUUUCCACUUCCUUACUCUCCUUCCCAAGUAAUAUCAAUAUUUUCUCAUUUUUCAAGAAAGGAGCUUUGACCUCUAAGACUUUAGCUACUCUUUAGUAUAUACAUAUAUAUAUAUAUAUAUAUAUAUAUAUAUAUAUAUAUAUAUAUAUAUAUAUAUAUAUAUAUAUAUAUAUAUAUAUAUAUAUAUAUAAAUAUAUACAUAUAUGUAUAUAUAAAUAUAAAUAUAUACAUAUAUCAUAUAUCAUAUAUAUAUAUAUAUAUAUAUAUUCAUCUGAGGAGCGAGAUAAAUAUUUUAAAACUCAUAAGCAAUUUACGUCUUUUUAAUUGGAUGUACGGCAACUUAUCGACUUUUUAAACAACCUUUAAUUAUAUAAACGAUAUCUGAAAUCCAUUUUUGUUUAACUGACGCGCUCACUGACAUAAACAAUAAGUUAAAUGUGGCUCCGGGGCACAUAAAGGAGACGAGUCUCAUUUAAGUUUAUUUAUGAUAAAUAUUUUUUAUUAUUAUUAUCAUUAUUAUUAUUAUUAUUAUUAUUAUUAUUAUUAUUAUUAUUAUUAUUAUUGUUAUUAUUAUUAUUAUUAUUAUUAUUAUUAUUAUUAUUAUUAUUUUCAUCACUGUUGUUUAUUAGAAAUAACUGCCGCUCGGCUACAACUUUCUAUAAUUUCAUAUAUUUCAUAUUAUUUCUCUAUGGAGACCACCUCUAGCGAUUGCAGAUACCUCAUUAGUUUUAUUUUUGAUAACUAUUUCAAUGCGGAAGGCGGCGAGCUGGCGAAAUCGUUACAGCACCGGGCAAAAAUACUUAACGCCAUCUCGUCCGUUUUUACGUUCUGAGUUCAAAUUCUGCGGAGGCUGACUUCGCUUUUCACCCUUUUCGGGGUCGAUAAAAUAAUUACCAGUUGAGUCCUGGGGAUCGAUGUAAUCGACUACACUUGUUUCCGAAAUUUCACGCUUAGCGCCUAUAACAGAAAGUUAUUAUUUCAAUGAAGUGGCGGCAAAAUGGUUAGAUUCAGGCAAAACGCAUAGCGGCAUCUCUUCAAGUUCUGAGUUCAAUUGCUCUCAUCCUUUGAGCUUGAUGAAACAACGUAUUAGUUUAGCACUGGGCUCGAUGCAACCAACUUCACACUGCCCUCAGAAUAUCUGGUCUCGUGCCAAAUUGAGAGAGAAUUAUUUCAAUAAAGAAAUAAUACGAAGAAAAUAUUCUUACUUGGGAUAAUCAAGUUAUAAAAGAGACGGGAAAAUAUUCUUUUCUAAUCUAGUUCACAAGGCCCGAUAUUUUGGGGGAGGAGGCCAGUCGAUUAGAUUGACCACGGUAUGCAACUAGUACUUAAUUUAUCGACCCCUAAAGGAUGAAAGGCAAUGUCUAUCUCGGAGGAAUUUGAACGUAAAGACCACUAAGCAUUUGGCCGGCGUGCUAACGUGUCUGCCAGCACGCCGCCUUCAGACGGGAAGAUAUUGUAUAAAGUUUACGUCUGUUCCUGGAUCGUAGUGAAUAGGUUGGAUCAAUUGGUUCCAGUCUGGAAUCGAAACUGGAACCGUUGGUUGUUUAACGGAAGAUUUAGUUCAUGAGCAUUCUGAGGAAUUUGUCAUUCAUCUUCUAUCUUUUAAUUGUUUCAGUUAUUAGAGUGUGGCCAUACUGGGGCACCGCCCUGAAUACGUUUUAGUCAAAUGAAUCGAUCCCAGUACUUAUUCUAUCAGUUGUUUUGCCGAACCGCUAGGUGAUGGGGACGUAAACACACCAACUCCGGUUGUCACUUGGUCGUGGGGGACAAACACAAGGACAGAGAAAUAUAUAUCUUAUAUUAUAUAUUAUAUUACAUUUAUAUAUAUAUAUAUAUAUAUAUAUAUAUAUAUAUAUAUAUAUAUAUAUAUAUAUAUAUAUAUAUAUAUAUAUAUAUAUAUAUAUAUAUAUAUAUAUAUUGUUGUAUUUGGGGAUGAUUAUGCUGUCAGUUUAGCCGAUAAAAACACACGCACUAUACAUUUGGUGUUAAUUUGCUUCAGCUUUAUUUUUUUUUUACAUUAAUCGUAUUUCAUCCAGAGUUCUUUCGUCACACUCCUGUAACCUGAUCAGUGGUCCUUUGCUUUCUUCUUUCUUAUUUCUGUGCCUUUCCUUACUAACGAUCAGCCAUUUUGGAUUUUGUAGUAUGUGUCUUUAUUUGCGUAUGCGUAUAUUUCUAUGCAUGUCUAUGUUUAGUAAGUGUGUAUGUGUAUGGGGGGAGUGCCUGUAUUAUCUGCAUCCCCUGUUUAUACACGUUCGUUUAAUUUGUUUUUAUUUAUUUUGUUCACGUGUUUAUACCAACUUAUUAUUUUUUCUUUCUUUUUUCUUUUCUUUCAUUUUUUUGUAUUUCAAUUUAUUUUAAUUUUGUUAACGUAUAUCGUUAUUUAAUUCCAUUUGUUUAUCUGUGUAUUUUAUUAUGUUUUGUUCAUAUUGUUAUUAUAUAUAUAUAUAUAUAUAUAUAUAUAUAUGUAUGUAUGUAUGUAUGUAUGUAUGUAUGUAUGUAUGUAUGUAUGUAUAUAAAUGAAGGACUCUUCCGGCCAAGAUGGCGAAUGAGAAUUCAGCUUUUUCCGAACGACCAGCGCGAAUGAUUUGUUUAUAAUGAUCAAAUGUCCGUGCCGCACAUCAAAUCGACGUUGUCUGACUAGGUGCACUUCGACACCUGACGAAUGAUAAACUUCUGCAAAGUUGUUGCAGAUUUUUACAGUUCCAGUGAUGGACUGGAUCUGUAGUCUUCGAAUUAGCUUUCUCCUUUCUGGAUUUGAGAAGCCUAAUUUCUCAAGAUUGGUAUAUAGGCAGUGUGUUACAUAUCCCAGAGCUCCAAUAUGUAUGUAUAUAUACGACGGGCUUCGUUCAGUUUCCGUCUACCAAAUCUACUCACAAGGCUUCGUUCGGCCCGACGCUAUAAUAGAAGACACUUGCCCAAGGUGCCACGCAGAGGGACUGAACCCGUAACCAUGUAGUUGGGAAACAAAAUUUUACCACACGGCAACGCCUGCGCUUAUAUCGAUAUUUUUUAGAAAAUAAAAUUGGGUUUUUCAUGAAAUUAACCUCGUGGCAACACUUUACUGGCAAAUAAUUUAUGGGUUCACUCGAUGUCUAUAAAUCAUCGAUUUUAACCAAUAAACAAGUGUUUGUCUCAAGGUUUAAGCCAUGCAAGCGUAUAUUCGUACGCUAAAUCAAUUUCUAAACCACAAGAUACUUUUUUUUCGUUUAAAAGAUGACUUAUAGUAGAUUUAAUCAACCGCAGAAUAUUACAGGUACCUAAUUCUCAGAGCGCAGAGUAACAUAAGGUAGAGUUUAUUGUUGUCUGUUUUAUGAUAUAAAUGAAAAAAAAUAGUAAAAGAAACAAUGAAGCAAGAGAGAAGUGAACUCAUAAUAAUGUGACAGUAAGCUAAGGCGGUGAACUGGCAGAAUGGUUAGCGCGCCGGGCGAAAGGCUUAGCGGUGUUUCAUCUGUCUUUACGUCCUGAGUUCAAAUUCCGCCGACGUCGACUUUGCCUUUUUUCCUUUCGGGUUCAAUAAAUUAAGUACCAGUUGCAUACUGGGAUCGAUGUAAUCGACUGGCCUCCUCCACAAAACUUUAAGACCUUGUGCCUAGAGUAGAAACGAAUAAUAUGUCACUAAACUAAGGCGGUGGACUGGCAGAAAGGUUAGCACGCUGUGAGAAAUAUUUAUCGGCACUUCGUCUGUCUUUACGUUCAAAUUCCGCUUGGGUCGACUUUGCCUUUUUCCCGCUACAAAUGUUCUUCGCUUUCUAAUUGCCUUCGCAACCAUUCUCAAUAAAAUUUCUGUAUGCAACAAUGAACAUCAUUUUAACAAGCACAGAUUCACGCCUGAUAUAUUAAACUUAUCAACCUUUAUUUCUCUCUCUCUCUCUCUCUCUCUUUCUCUCUCUCUCUCUUCUUUUGUAUAGUUUUCUAAUUACAGAAGCGAGGAGUAAUCACUCGGCCUAGUGGUUAAGCCGUUACACGCAGCCAAUUUCGU
rnacentral:lncRNA from 1 species